GUUACUGACAAAAUGGAACCACUCUUUGUUCAAUUUUUCCUAAAAACAUUUCUCCAAAAUGUGUUUUGAUCUAUUAAAUUGUAUGUUUUGCUUCAAGUUAUAAAGACAAAAGUGUAUAUAUUCAACUUAAAUUAUUUAUUGUACAUAGGACAUACUGGGUAUUUACGUUUUUUCUUGUAAUUAUAUAAUACAGGUAAUCUAUGUAUAUUUGACACCUGAAUUUUCUUUUGAUGAUCCACAUACUGAGUUCUGCAUCUAAAGAACAUUUGGCGUAAAAAGCUUCUGUCUGAAUUUUGAUUUUUGUAGAUAAGAGUCUGCACAAAUCCCACAAGGUUGCUGUACAGAGGCAGAUGUUUGUUAUAAACUACAGUUAAAUUCUAUGCUCUGAUACUGUCUACUUUCCCUUCCAUAUAUCAUCACCAAAAAUAACAAGAUAAUAGAAAACAAGGUUUGAUUCCAGAAUGAUUUCAGUUGAUGAUGAUGAAUGAAGCAGAAUAGACAGCCUGAUUUUCAUAAGUUAAAUUGAACUUGCAGUGCCAAAUGCAGCAACAACAGCAAAAAGAUUAGCAGACAUGACAAGGGAAAAGAGAAGAAUUUAUGUGCAAACACAUAAUGCCAUUUGAAAAAAGAAGGGAGUUAUGAAAAUGUACAAAUGCAUAGAUACUGAAUGCUGGCAGGAAAGAAUAAACUAAAAAUACAUUAUCUAAUGUUGGAAGCAAUUCUUAUAGAGAAUCAGGGCCAAGUAAAUAGAGUAAGAUAGUUUCAGGAAAUAAUUUUAUUUUAUUUGAGCUCUACAAGAAAUCAUACCUUGGUUCUUUUGGCAUCCAGUAAAAGUAAUUGUAAGAGACUAUAAUCUAGCUAGUAUCCACAGAAGAAAAUAACAUUAGGUGGGAUCCAUGAAUAUUUUACCAUAUAUAACAAACAUUCCCCAUUUCACACACCACUCUUUGUAAAGCAAAAACAGGAUGAAGAAUAAAAUAAUAAGAUAUUUUUCCAUUGGUAGUUUGAAGUUGUGAUAUUAAUUGCUUCCUCCACUUUGUGGCUUCUCAAGACGUAAACUGAAAAAUUGUUAUCAAAAUGACUUAAAAAGGGAGAUUAUUUUACAUCUAAGGAUUCUUUAUAUUUUUCUCUGGUAAUAUCAUUGUUUAGUUCUUUAAUCAAAUGAUUUGCGUCAAAAUAAAUCCAUGGGACUGCCUUUGUCUCUAUGUAAAACUGACAACUGUUUUUGUCUUAAUUAUUUUAGAAUAAAUUGAUAUUGUUAUAUAUGUUUCUUCUACACCAACCCUCAGGUUAAUAGAAUAUUUAAAAGUCUUUUAUUAUAGGAAUUAAAGUGACUUUAAGAAUAUUACAGCUUGUUCCAUGUAGUAUUAAUUUCAAUUGGUAAGACAUCAAAUUUGCUUUGUAACUGCAGAAAUAAUGAAUUAAUCUCAAGAAAAUGGCCUAAUACCUGAAAAUCAUCAUCCCAGAAAAACCCAUUAUACAUAAUGCACAAAAGUAAAAAAAAAAAAAAAA
rnacentral:lncRNA from 1 species